ensembl:lncRNA
GUUAGAGAAAAUGGGCAGAGGAUUGUGAAACAAAGAAACCCCAGACCCUUUCAAAAUGAAACAGCGUGAAAAAUGUUCUUAAUGCACCCACAUUCUCUGGAGCUUUCCCCACUGGUUCAAGAGUUGGAUCUAAGUCAAUAACAAGAUACAACUGUUGAACGUCAAGGAGGGGGAAAUGGGAGCUUUCCUUGGAUAAUUCACAAAGCAGCUGCUGCUGCUGGGUUGUGUUAGUUAGAAAAAGAUGCUGCUCCCCUUGGGAGGAAGAGACAAAUUUCUGCUAAUUUGGUGUUCUAGGGGCAGCAGGGUUGUGAUGCUGUAAGAGCCCAGCAGACAGCAAAGAGGACACGAGGACUGAGAGAAACACUCCUGACAGUUCAGAUAUAAAUGUGCAGCGAAAUGGACCCCAAUCCUCUGACUAAAAGGAGAAAAGUCAACAGCUUUUCCCUGGAGUCUCUGUCCUGGCUGGAUGUUGGGAUGGAUGCUCCUCGUUCCCAUGCAGAAUUGCUGUUUCUCUCUCUGUUUUGGGAAGCUGCCAGAUGGUUUCCUCACCCCUGCUCGUUCUCUUCGAGUUCUGGCCCCACAAGAGGUGUGUGAUGUGUCUGGGAGCACAAAUUGGGCACUGGGUGGGAUUUCCACUGCCUGAAUGGAGAUAAUCAUGGAAUGGUUUGGGUUGGAAGGGACAUUAAAGAUCAGCUUGUUCCAACACCUUCCACUAUCCCAGGUUGCUCCAAGCCCCAUCCAGCCUGGCCUUGGACACUUCCAGGGAGGGGACAUCCACAAUUUCUCUGGGAAUCCUGUGCCAAGGCCUCCCCACCCUCAGAGGGAAUUUUCCUGUACAAAUCCCUGAGUCUGCUCUAAGCACUCUGGCUUUGUGACUUAAGGCCAGGCUUAACAACUUCCCACACCUUUUUCAUUUCAGCCUUAAGGACCCUUUCUUGGGCAAAUCCUUUCUGGAUUUGCAAGUUUGACUUAGUCAUGAUGAGCUUUUAAGGGAAAAACAGUGGCACUGCGUUCUACUCCUUCAACUGCACAUAAUUUAAAAUCCUAUAGGGUUUAAAAGAAAAACAUGAACCUGAUUAGUGGAUUUUAGUGGCAUUUCAGGACCUAAGGAUCCUGAUCACCCAUCUCAAAACCAAGUGGUGUUUUAUUUCUCCCUUCUAUUCCUCCAGAUUAGUUGAAUUUCUCUCUUCUAAUCCUCCAGAUUAAUUUUAUUUCUCCCUUCUAAUCCUCCACACUGUGUCUCAGUGUGUGUUUUAAGCAGAUUUUUUAUUCCUUAAUUUAAUUUCUUGUUUUAAGAGUAAAGUCUAAUGAAUAUUUGGGUUAAAAUUCUUGGUGUGCAUGGCUUGGAUUUGGUGCUUCACCACUUAUCUGCAGCCAAGAAUAUUUUUAAGAAGCUCUUGUAAGGCUUGCAGGAAAUGUAUGUGAGCUCUAAAUGUCAGGUCUGGAGGGAGUUGAGAAAUAUUGCAAUUGUUUUUGGGUUUGGAUUUGUGUAUUCAUGACGUGAAUGGGGUUUGUGCCUUUUCCUGCUCUUCCCAGGGUCCUUUUGCAACUUAUCUGAAAUAAAAUUCUCCUCUUUGUGUCGUCCUGGUGUUGU